rnacentral:rRNA from 1 species
CCUACGGGUGGCUGCAGUGGGGAAUAUUGGACAAUGGGCGAAAGCCUGAUCCAGCCAUGCCGCGUGUGUGAAGAAGGCCUUCGGGUUGUAAAGCACUUUCAGUGGGGAAGAAAGCCUUGGGGCUAAUACCCUCGAGGAAGGACAUCACCCACAGAAGAAGCACCGGCUAACUCCGUGCCAGCAGCCGCGGUAAUACGGAGGGUGCGAGCGUUAAUCGGAAUUACUGGGCGUAAAGCGCGCGUAGGCGGUCUGAUAAGCCGGUUGUGAAAGCCCCGGGCUCAACCUGGGAACGGCAUCCGGAACUGUCAGGCUAGAGUGCAGGAGAGGAAGGUAGAAUUCCAGGUGUAGCGGUGAAAUGCGUAGAGAUCGGGAGGAAUACCAGUGGCGAUGGCGGCCUUCUGGACUGACACUGACGCUGAGGUGCGAAAGCGUGGGUAGCAAACAGGAUUAGAUACCCCAGUAGUC